rnacentral:lncRNA from 1 species
AGAGGAUGCACUGUGCUGACCCUACAGUCCUCCAUUAUACUGAUAUUUGCCCUGGUUCGUGCCUCCACACAAAGGUCAGUCGAAUUAAGGCUCUGGCCUGGUCAGGAGACUCUGUUUUCAAUUUAUCCUCUUUCGCCAGACUGGGACCUGGGCAGGCAGCACAAGAACCUCGGGAUCAGACCCUAGACCCCUCGGUUGCAAGGCUGCCAAGGGAACUACAAUUCCCAGUAUGCCUCAGGGUAUUUCCGGUCUAUGGACUUACGGAGGCGAGUUUGAAUUUGUGUUCCCGCCCCCUCCUGCUCGCGGACCCCGCCUCUUCCCCCUCUCUCGCCGCCCCGCCCCUUCCAUGCACACACAUGCACAUGCAUAUUCAGUCAACCGUCCACACCAACAUACCUUGCCUGCAGCUGGCACGGGGGAUGGGGGCACCGGCGUGCGACUUGUAGGGAGGCUGGAGCGCACUGGGAGCAAACCUGGCGGCUGCUGCCUAAGACCUGGUCUUGGGAAUCCACGCCGCCUUGCACUGAGCAGGUCUCCUUCACACACUGCCUUUCAAGCUGCAUUUCCUUACUUUCCCCCAUUCCCGAUACCACCCCUCAGUCAGGCGGAUUACCGACUUCAGCUCUGGAACUCCCAGUCUGUCAGGUACAGCAGGGAUGUAACCUCUCAGCAUGUACCUCCCUCCCCUUAUCCCUUCUUUUCUGUUCCCUGUCAGUCGCCCAGACUCAAGCCUUGCAGCCUCUUCUUCUCCUCACCUACCGACUUCACCCUAUCGUACUCCAGUGUCUCCACCCCUACAGCCCCAACCUCCUAGCUCCCACACUCUCAGCUGUUGUCCUCUAACCUCAGGGUCCUGAUACCCAGCUGGAAGGCCAGUGCCCAGCUCCAGCCCUUGCCCUUAGCCCCUGGCCUCCAGCCUUGGGUACUCAGCCCUGAGUCUGCCAUUGUAAAUCCUUACUCUUUUCCCAGGAGGACUGGACAGCUAUAGCAUGCCUAAACCCUAUGACGCUCUGGACUAGAGACUGAAACUGACAAAAACUUAAGGGUGGAGGGCCUGGGGGAGGUGCUCAUUGGGGUUCGGGUGCAGUUGCUUGUUAUUUUUAGCUGCUGACUCACUGCUCCUGGCAUCCGGGUUUGGGGCUAGCAGGCUGGGCUAGGGGGCUAUUAAUAGAGCAGAGGCACAGCCCCGACCCAGUUCAAUUUGGAAACACAGGGAGCCAGGAUCCUCUUCUCUGCCAUCCUGUCUUGUGGAAUGUUGGGGACUGAGGGCAGUGGCUGGGCCAGAUGCUCUCUAGCUGCCAGUUACCUCUGGCUAGUAUCACUACCUUGGAACUCUUGGGGGAAAGCCCACAAGGAAACUCCUGGGCACAGCUCUCCCCUGAGCUUGCCAUGGCUUGGGGCUGUGCCACAGGAAGCUUCUGUUGUACUAGCUGAGAGGGCAAGUUCUAAUGGAGAGGUUAUUAAACAGCCAUGGCCUUGGCCUGCCUGGACCUACUCCUGGGCCAGAAUGCUCAGUUGCUGGGAGGAUAAAGCUGUGGAUUUCUGGUUGCCAAAGACUCUCAUAAAGACAAGGUACUUCAGCACAGAGCCAGGUAUCCCCAAACCAGACAGAACUAGGAAGCUACUGAAUACCAUGUUUACCACUCUCUCUUGUUAUUUCUUUCCCUCUUGUUGGGCUGUGUCCCUACUCACAGGGGUCUGCCAACCUCAUGAUCUCUCCCGUCUUAGUGGAGAAAUCUAAUUCAGGAAAGUCACUGAGAAUUUUGUCCCCACAGAGGUAUGAAUGAUCCUUUAUAUUGUCAUUCCCAUGGGGCCUUCUUAUUUUAAUGGGUUAAAGUUGGACUUUCCUAAUUGGGAGUGUUUGGGAAAUAUUGAUACAGGACUGAUCACCAAAAUUAUUCCCACCCACUCUCAAUUUGUCAGAAUUCUCAUUGAACCCACAAUAAUGCCCAUCCUCCACUUCUUGUGAACCAGAAACUUCUGCCUUCAGCGACCUGGGUUUUCAGAUUCCAGAAGAAACCACAUUUGGGGCAAGUGAGAUCCGUUUCUCCACACACAGACUGAGGUCACCUGAUGAAGCUCUGUUUUCAAGAAUGAGCUCAGAUUAUAUGACAACAGCAAGCAGCGCCGCCCCAACCCCGUCUAUUUGCUGAAGGCGCGGAAGAGGCGGUGGAAGGAGAGAAAUGGUCUCUCUCCCGACAAAUCCCUUUCCUGAACUCCAUUGCCUGUCUCAGCGCAGGCCGCGCGGUCACCUAGCAACCACAGCCGCCUGCAGGGGCGUAGAGAACGCUUUCCACCCAUAGGGGGCGCCGACCUCCCUGGGGCCUCUGGCUGGAGCCCUAGCAGUUGGGAGUGGGGGGGCUGGUCUCUGGUUAAGCGUCAGAGUCCCAGUGUUGUUGAUCUCCUUGGCUUAUCUGUGGGGUUCAUUCUAAGUGUUCAAGAGCCUGUGGAGUGGAGAGAAGCUUACUAUGAAUCUGAAGGGAGUUUACUUGGAUUCAUUAAAAAAUGAAAAGAGGAAAGGAAGAAGAAUAGAAGGAGGGGAGGGAGGAGUCAAAGGGAAUGAGGCAAGACAAAAUUGGGAGAAAAAAUUGACCCUCUCUAUUCACUUCAGGCUUCCCAAUACUUAAUUCCUCUAUCAGAGAAGUUCAGAAGGUCCAGGCUCUCUGGGACUUUUUUUUUUUCCUGAACCACUUUUAGGAUGUAGAAAGGAGUUUAGCACUCUUUAUUAGCAAACUGCUGAGCUUAUACGACACUUCAAGCUCCCUAGUUACCAGACUAAUCUAGACUUGGCCAUUAAGAAAGAUAGUCGUUCAUUCAUUCAUUCGUAUAUUCAACAAUAAUAAUUAACACUAACCUACUAUGAGGUAUGUUAAGCGUUCUACAUUUAAUCUUCACAAAAAUGCUAUGAUUAUUUCCAUUUCACAGAUUUAAAGAACUGAGUCUCAGAGAAGUAAUGCCCAAGGUCACACAACUGGUGACUGGGUUGGGUCUGACUGAACAACCACUGUGAGUCAAAAUCUAAGAAGACAGAAAACACGACACUUCUCUCUUUUGUCUACUUAAUGAACACCUAGUCCCAAACUAAAGAUGUCAACCCCUUUUUGAAACUCUUCUUAAGUCCUUCCCCACCCAGGUAAAGUUGAUAACUUGCUUUUCUGUGCACCCCUCUGAAAUAGCACUUUUCAUUGAUAUUACAAUGAUCUAAUUCUGUAUUUCUAUUUCUCUAACUUUUAGCAUGUUGGCAGCAGGGUUGUGUUCAUCUCCACUUGGAUGUCUAGUAGACAUCUCAAAUUCAACAUGUCCAAAUCUGAUCUUUCCCCCCAAAAUGACCACUCCUAAAGUCCUCAUUACAAUCAAUAGCCAUUUCACCUUCCCAGUUGCUCUGCAAAAAAAAAAAAAAAAAUCCUUGAAAGCAACCACAUCUUGUGGUUUCAGCAAAUCCUGCAUCUGUCCCUUCAAAAUAUACCCAGAAACCAACCACUUCUCAUCACCUCCAGUGUUGCCACCUGUUCCAAGCCACUAUUACCUUUCAGUAAGAUCACUUCAGUAGCGUCCUGACUAGUCUCACUGCCUCUACCCUUACACCUUGCAGCCUCUUGUCCGCAAAGAAACUGGACCAAUCCAGAUAAAACCAGAUCAGAGCAUGUCAGUUCUCUGCACAAAACCCUCAUAUGACUCCCUGUCUUGAAGAGUAAAGCCGAGGGUUGGGGCUGUGGAUCAGAGGUAGAGUGCUCGCCUACCAUGCGUGAGGCACUGGGUUUGUUCCCCAACACCACAUAAAAAAAUAAAAUAAAGAUAUUUUAAAAUGUAAAGCCAAUACUCUUACAAUGAUCUUCAAGGCCCUAUGUACCUUAUUGAAUUUCUGAUCUUGUCUCCGGCUAUUCUCACACUCUCUCACACUUACAUCCACUGGGUCCUCACUUCUGUUCCUUGAAUAGGCCAGGUACACUCUUACAUAGGACUUUUGCACUGGCUGUUCCCUUGCUAGGUUUACUCUUCUGCAUAGUACACUUCCUGACUGGCCACAAGUCUCUGCUCAAAUGCCAACUUCUUGGUGAGGUUUAUCCUCACUAACCUAUUUAAUAUUCCCUCUAUUCUAAUUUCUAGGUUACAGUAAAUACAGGGUAUAAAGGAACAAGAUAAAUGACAACAUGAAGGGGGAAAAACAGACAAAUCCAGACUGUAGGAUAUUCUAUAAAACAACUGACUUGUACUCUUC